AUUGAACGCUGGCGGCGUGCUUAACACAUGCAAGUCGAACGAAGUGGCGAACGGGUGAGUAACGCGUAAUCACCCUGCCCUUCAGAGGGGGACAACAGUUGGAAACGACUGCUAAUACCGCAUACUGAAGGAGGGGAUUGCGUCUGAUUAGCUAGUUGGAGGGGUAACGGCCCACCAAGGCGAUGAUCAGUAGGCGGUCUGAGAGGAUGAACGGCAACAUUGGGACUGAGAGACGGCCCAGACGCCUACGGGAGGGAGGAGUGGGGAAUCUGCCGCAAGGGACGAAAGGCUGACGGAGCAAAGCCGCGUGAGUGAUGACGGCCUUGGGGUUGUAAAGCUCUGUUAAUCGGGACGCGGUACCGGAAUAGAAAGCCACGGCUAACUACGUGCCAGCAGCCGCGGUAAUUC
rnacentral:rRNA from 1 species